GCGGGCGCCGCGGACGGGCGUAGGCGGAGCGGGUGGACGCCGCGCGCAGGGUCGCGGGCCCCGGCACGUGUGCGGCCCGCGGCAAAGACUCCCUGAGACCACGCACCCUGGGGCCUCAAGGCGCGGCGACUCGAGAGGAGUGCGGAGGUUUCCAAGUCCGCAGUGGCCUUUUCGGGCCGACCAUCGCUGUGAUGAGAAUCCCGAAGCCCCGCGACCACGGACCUCGGCGUUCUCUGCGUCACAGUCGGGCCUGUGGCCACCGCCGCGCGGUUCUCUGCUGCUUGCCCUCCGAGACAGUUACGUGGAAGGGGCGUGCGGCCCUGGAAGCGGGACUCCGCCAGGGAGACUACGAAGGACCUUAGACGUCCCGGGGGUCCUCAGGGCCCUGUCCGCUUCUGCUGCCUUUCACAGUUGCUGGGUGCUGAGCGUUCUGCUAGAAAUUUUGCUUCUGAUUGGUUUUGGCGCACUUAUCUCAGCGCCUGCGAAGGGAAUGAGGCCCUUGACGCUGUGCCUGUGAAGGUUCACGCCAGUUGUGCUUGAGUGUACCGUUUUCCUCUGCGGUGCCUUUGAUUAUUCAGGGAUAAUAAAACUAUGGCCAAACGGG